GUGUCUCUCAUAUUGAAUAUCCUAAGAGAGAUGCUGGAAUAUUUUGGCGUUCCUCUAGAAGAAGUUUUACCGAUUGGAGAAAAUAAAGAAUGUGGAUCAAGUAGGAAUAUCAUUUGUAUUAUUGGGAAAAUACUUCCAUUAGAACUUUGUAGAGGACUUAAUUUUGAGUUGGUCCCACUCUUGAACUGUGUAGACUCUGUGGAUUUAUGGUUCCAUCUUUUGCUGAUAUUUUCUGUGUGGCAAAUGAUGAAGAAGCCAGCUAGCUCUGAUUUUUUAAUAGUAUACAGAAAAAAGAAAAGAACAAAAUUGAAUUUUUCCAUAUUUUGCAACUAAUUUGGGAUCCAUUGUCCCUACCCUAAGACAUAACAAACCGGUGAAAAAAGAUCUGCCUGCAAAUGAAGCUGCAAUUUAAAAAAGUAGUUGUCCUUGAAGUUAAUUUUUGUUUUGGCUGUCACAUUGCUGCAAUUGUGGAAAUGCAGGAACUUAAAAAGAGUACAAAUUCUAGCUCCUUUGGCUUGAACGACAGGCCCAUUAGUUUGAGACAAAUGCCAACAUGGGGGGCUGCUCAGAUGAGUUUCCAACUUAAAGUCAGAUCAGUUUCCAAGUUCAAUGCUUUCUUUUCCUCCUUGCUUCCUUCUCCACCACCACCACUUCCUCCUCAGUUUUCUUCUCUCCAGCCUCCAUAUUCCUCCCGUACAACCAGGAUCUAAUAUUUGUAACUCAGAUAAUCCAGCUACUGAAAUAAACAAAGAGCAUGCAGGUGCUAGUAAGACCAAUUAUAAUUAUCAUUAAAAAAAGCCAGAGAAAUAUAUUCCAAACAUAUUGGAUGUUCUAAAGGAUAUGAAAAAGGUUAAGCUUAAUGUGAUUGAAUGGUCACCUAGCAGCAAACCCAUUCAUAAGAGGAAAAGACAAAAUUCAUAUUAGGACCCGAUGUCUUUAAUAUCUCAUGCACUUAUGCAGAAAUUUGCAUUUCAAGAUUCUUUUGAGAAAGUAAAUACAUCUUGAGAGUCUUCCCCAUUUUCUAGUUCAAUAACUUCAAGGUUUGGACAUCACAUUUCGCAGUAAGGACAGUGAACUAAAGCAAAACUGAUAAACACAGCAGCUGUUGGCCAAGGUAUCAGCAAC
rnacentral:lncRNA from 1 species